GAUGAACGCUGGCGGCGUGCCUAAUACAUGCAAGUCGAGCGAACAGACGAGGAGCUUGCCUCUCUGACGUUAGCGGCGGACGUGUGAGUAACACGUGGAUAACCUACCUAUAAGACUGGGAUAACUUCGGGAAACCGGAGCUAAUACCGGAUAAUAUAUUAAACCGCAUGGUUCAAUAGUGAAAGACGGUUUUGCUGUCACUUAUAGAUGGAUCCGCGCCGCAUUAGGUAGUUGGUAAGGUAACGGCUUACCAAGGCGACGAUGCGUAGCCGACCUGAGAGGGUGAUCGGCCACACUGGAACUGAGACACGGUCCAGACUCCUACGGGAGGCAGCAGUAGGGAAUCUUGCACAAUGGGCGAAAGCCUGACGGAGCAACGCCGCGUGAGUGAUGAAGGUCUUCGGAUCGUAAAACUCUGUUAUUAGGGAAGAACAAAUGUGUAAGUAACUAUGCACGUCUUGACGGUACCUAAUCAGAAAGCCACGGCUAACUACGUG
rnacentral:rRNA from 1 species